rnacentral:rRNA from 1 species
UACGUAGGGUGCAAGCGUUAAUCGGAAUUACUGGGCGUAAAGCGUGCGCAGGCGGUUUGCUAAGACAGGUGUGAAAUCCCCGGGCUUAACCUGGGAACUGCGCUUGUUACUGGCAGGCUUGAGUGUGGCAGAGGGGGGUGGAAUUCCACGUGUAGCAGUGAAAUGCGUAGAGAUGUGGAGGAACACCGGUGGCGAAGGCGGCGUUCUGGACUGCAUCUGACACUGAAAGACGAAAGCCAGGGGAGCAAACGGG